rnacentral:rRNA from 1 species
GACGAACCGAGCGAACGUUGUUCGGAAUCACUGGGCUUAGAGGGCGCGUAGGCGGGUUCUCAAGUCCGGGGUGAAAUCCCACAGCUCAACUGUGGAACUGCCUCGGAUACUGGGUGCCUCGAGGGUGGUAGGGGUAUGCGGAACCAUCGGUGGAGCGGUGAAAUGCGUUGAUAUCGAUAGGAACUCCGGUGGCGAAGGCGGCAUACUGGACCACAUCUGACGCUGAGGCGCGAAAGCCAGGGGAGCGAACGGG